AGCAGCCGCGGUAAUUCCAGCUCCAAUAGCGUAUAUUAAAGUUGUUGCAGUUAAAAAGCUCGUAGUUGAAUUUCGGGGUUAGUAGGUUGGUCAUGCCUCUGGUAUGUACUGGUCUCACUGAUUCCUCCUUCCUGAUGAGCCGUAAUGCCAUUAAUUUGGUGUUGCGGGGAAUUUGGACUGUUACUUUGAAAAAUUAGAGUGUUUAAAGCAAGCUAACGCUUGAAUACAUUAGCAUGGAAUAAUGAAAUAGGACGUUCGAUCCUAUUUUGUGGUUUCUAGGAUUGACGUAAUGAUUAAUAGGGAUAGUUGGGGCAUUAGUAUUCAAUUGUCAGAGGUGAAAUUCUUGGAUUUAUUGAAGACUAACUACUGCGAAAGCAUUUGCC
rnacentral:rRNA from 1 species